UAUAAUUCCGGUAGAUACUGGGCGUUAAGCAUUGCGUCAGCGCUGAUUAUACAGAUGUGGAAAUAUUCCCGCGCGUGCUCAAUCUAGGGAGACUGCAUCUGUGACUGUAUAGCUAGAGUACGUAGAGGAGGGAUGGUAAUACUGCGUGUAGCAGUGAAAUGCGUAGAUAUGAUGGAGGAACACCGAUGGGGGGAAGGCAAUCCCCUCCGGGCCCUGUACUGACGCUCAUGCACGAAAAGCGUGGGGAGCAAACAAGGAUUUAGAUACCCUGGUAGUUCCACGCCCCUCAAAAACGAAUGUCAACUGGUUGUUGGGUGUUCACUGAACUCCAGGUAACGAAGCUAACGCGUGAAGUUGACCGCCUGGGGGAGUACGGCCGCAAAGGUUGAAACUCAAAAGGAAUUGACGGGGACCCGCACAAGCGGUGGAGCAUGUGGUUUAAUUUGAUGAUACGCGAGGAACCUUACCUAGGCUAGAAUGUGAGCGCUAUCUGGUGAAAGCCGGAGUUCCUUCGGGACGCGAAACAAGGUGCUGCAUGGUUGUCGUCAGCUCGUGCCGUGAGAUGUUGGGUUAAGUCCCGCAACGAGCGCAACCCCUAUCAUUAGUUGCCAACAGGUCAAGCUGGGAACUCUAAUGAAACUGCCGUCGUAAGACGUGAGGAAGGAGGGGAUGAUGUCAAGUCAUCAUGGCCCUUACGGCCAGGGCUACACACGUACUACAAUGGUCGGUACAGAGGGUUGCAAUACCGCGAGGUGGAGCCAAUCCCCGAAAACCGAUCCCCGUCCGGAUUGGAGUCUGCAACUCGACUCCAUGAAGUCGGAAUCGCUAGUAAUCGCGGAUCAGCUUGCCGCGGUGAAUACGUUCCCGGGCCUUGUACACACCGCCCGUCUCUCCAUGGGAGUUGGUUGCUCCUGAAGUAGGUAGUCUAACCGCUAGGGGGACGCUUACCUCGGAGUGGUCUAUGACUGGGGGAAGUCGUAACAAGUAACCGAAGCGAGU
rnacentral:rRNA from 1 species